rnacentral:rRNA from 2 species
AAACUGGAUAACUUGAGUGCAGAAGAGGGUAGUGGAACUCCAUGUGUAGCGGUGGAAUGCGUAGAUAUAUGGAAGAACACCAGUGGCGAAGGCGGCUACCUGGUCUGCAACUGACGCUGAGACUCGAAAGCAUGGGUAGCGAACAGGAUUAGAUACCCUGGUAGUCCAUGCCGUAAACGAUGAGUGCUAGGUGUUGGAGGGUUUCCGCCCUUCAGUGCCGGAGCUAACGCAUUAAGCACUCCGCCUGGGGAGUACGACCGCAAGGUUGAAACUCAAAGGAAUUGACGGGGGCCCGCACAAGCGGUGGAGCAUGUGGUUUAAUUCGAAGCUACGCGAAGAACCUUACCAGGUCUUGACAUCUUGCGCCAACCCUAGAGAUAGGGCGUUUCCUUCGGGAACGCAAUGACAGGUGGUGCAUGGUCGUCGUCAGCUCGUGUCGUGAGAUGUUGGGUUAAGUCCCGCAACGAGCGCAACCCUUGUUACUAGUUGCCAGCAUUAAGUUGGGCACUCUAGUGAGACUGCCGGUGACAAACCGGAGGAAGGUGGGGACGACGUCAGAUCAUCAUGCCCCUUAUGACCUGGGCUACACACGUGCUACAAUGGACGGUACAACGAGUCGCGAACUCGCGAGGGCAAGCAAAUCUCUUAAAACCGUUCUCAGUUCGGACUGCAGGCUGCAACUCGCCUGCACGAAGUCGGAAUCGCUAGUAAUCGCGGAUCAGCAUGCCGCGGUGAAUACGUUCCCGGGCCUUGUACACACCGCCCGUCACACCAUGAGAGUUUGUAACACCCAAAGUCGGUGGGGUAACU